CCGAGGCUUGCCACCUUUGAAGUGGGACUAAGUUUAACGCCCUUCGGAC
rnacentral:tRNA from 1 species